rnacentral:rRNA from 1 species
UGUCUUUUAAAUAAAGACCCGUAUGAAUGGCUCAAUGAGGGCCCAACUGUCUUCUAUGGCAAAUCAAUGAAACUGAUCUUUCAGUACAAAAGCUGAAAUACACACAUAAGACGAGAAGACCCUGUGGAGCUUUAACUAACGUGUCAAACAAACCACUUGCACCAUGACACCACAUUUAAGUUGGGGCAACUUUGGAAAAAAACAAAACUUCCAAGAAUAUCUUCGUACUAAGGCUGACAAGCCAAAGUACACCUCCACCGACCCAGUACAAACUGAUUAACGAACCAAGUUACCCCAGGGAUAACAGCGCAAUCCUCUUUUAGAGUCCAUAUCGCCAAGAGGGUUUACGACCUCGAUGUUGGAUCAGGACACCCCAGUGGUGCAGCCGCUACUAAAGGUUCGUUUGUUCAACGAUUAAUAGU